rnacentral:RNase_P_RNA from 1 species
CACGCAGGCCGGGUGACCGCGGGCGGCGUAGCCGCUCGAGGAAAGUCCGGACACCACAGGGCAGGACGCUGGGGAAACCCCAGGCGGCGAAAGCCGACGGACAGUGGCACAGAAAACAAACCGCCACCGGCGUGAUCUCCGGAGACGCCGGCGGUAAGGGUGAAACGGUGGGGUAAGGGCCCACCAGCGUCGUGGUGACACGGCGGCUAGCCAAACCCCGUCCGGUGCAAGGUGAAACAGGCUCCGCAGGCUGCCCGCCCAGGAGCCGGGUACACCGCUAGAGCCGUCGCGAGAGCGGCGGCCGAGAGAGAUGGUCACCCAAGACAGAAUCCGGCUUA